UACAGAGGUCUCAAGCGUUGUUCGGAAUCACUGGGCUUAAAGGGCGCGUAGGCGGGCAAGCAAGUCGAAGGUGAAAUCCCACGGCUCAACCGUGGAAGUGCCCCCGAUACUGCUUGUCUUGGAGGGAGAUAGGGGCGUGCGGAACUUCCGGUGGAGCGGUGAAAUGCGUAGAUAUCGGAAGGAACACCGGUGGCGAAAGCGGCGCGCUGGAUCUCUUCU
rnacentral:rRNA from 1 species